UACGAAGGGGGCUAGCGUUGCUCGGAAUCACUGGGCGUAAAGCGCACGUAGACGGACUCUUAAGUCAGGGGUGAAAUCCUGGAGCUCAACUCCAGAACUGCCUUUGAUACUGAGAGCCUUGAGUUCGGGAGAGGUGAGUGGAACUGCGAGUGUAGAGGUGAAAUUCGUAGAUAUUCGCAAGAACACCAGUGGCGAAGGCGGCUCACUGGCCCGAUACUGACGCUGAGGUGCGAAAGCGUGGGGAGCAAACAGG
rnacentral:rRNA from 1 species